rnacentral:rRNA from 1 species
GCAGCAGCCGCGGGAAUACAGAGGGUGCGAGCGUUAAUCGGAUUUACUGGGCGUAAAGCGUGCGUAGGCGGCUUUUUAAGUCGGAUGUGAAAUCCCUGAGCUUAACUUAGGAAUUGCAUUCGAUACUGGGAAGCUAGAGUAUGGGAGAGGAUGGUAGAAUUCCAGGUGUAGCGGUGAAAUGCGUAGAGAUCUGGAGGAAUACCGAUGGCGAAGGCAGCCAUCUGGCCUAAUACUGACGCUGAGGUACGAAAGCAUGGGGAGCAAACAGGAUUAGAUACCCGCGUAGUCCCUGUCUCUUAUAC